UUGGUUGCUAUGGGCAACUCAGCAACUUUUCUUCUGGACAGGUUUUGAUGAAUCUCCCCCCCAAGUGCCUUAAAAAACUGAACUCCUCCUUUUUGUGCCAACUUGGGAUCUCUGUCUGUGAUACCCAGUCCAACUUGACUCCAGCCUCCACUCACCUUUAAAGGGGUACACCGGUCCGGUCCCCGCCGCGCAGGGAACAUUCUAUACUAGAAGACAAAGGACAGAAGGUUAACAAUGCAGGUUCCUAUGUGGGGACCUUUAAUCAGUAGAGACCUCAGCUGCCGGCUCGCCUCCAGCAAGUGGAUGUAGGGAAGGAGAUAUUAAUACAAUUGAUGGUUGUGUCAGAGACGUUUAUCUUCAAGACUCCUUCAUCUCUACGAAAGGUCAUUUAAAGCUGAACAGACUGCACUAGGAGAACCAUGAAAUUUUAUUCUGCUCUCGCACCCAAUAUCAGCCUGACCGGGUCGGGGGCAAUUAGCUUCUCGCUAUAAACUUUCCUCUAAGCCAUUUUCUGUAAUGUGCGCUGGAAGGAUUGCAUCUACCAAGGCUUUGUCUCCUCGUGAUACAGCAAAGGUCAUUCACACUCAUGAAAAUUAUAUUUAUCGGGCAGAUACGAAAUAACCACAGAGCUUCUCCAACCACAGCGAACGCUAACCACCCGACGCCGGCAACACGAGUAAUGAGUAUACAGGCAGCCGGUGACACCGAGUCCUAUAAUAGCCGGUCUUGAUGAUGCAUCUCUCCAGUCUGUCUGUGAUUAGAUUUCAAGUGAAAAAUGACAGGGAACGUCCUUUGUGAAACGCAUGGCGCCGACGCAUGACUGGCUGACCGAAGACAUCUCAAGCCAGAGAGAGAUCCAAACAGCCUGCGACACUGAUUGUGAUAAAACACACUUGUAUCUGAAAUGUCACCUAACCCUCAGUUUCUUUCCUGUGUAUGCCAAUGCUACAGAUAAUAUAUGCAGGGGGAGAAAAAAAAAGACUGAUAUGGCGCUAAUAUAGUGCCGGUUAUCCGUGGAUAACGGAUGUAUGGUAGCAAGAGUCAAGAGCCUGCUCACCUUUAAGUGUUGCGCUAGUUUCAGGCGCAACACUGAUGAAAGCUUUGAGCAGGUGUCUUUUAGCAGGUACGCCGGGAGAAACUGGCCGUCGGUCCCGUCGGAGACGGUGGGUAGGAUAAUAUUGCAGA